rnacentral:ncRNA from 1 species
UAGUUCCUUCAGGGUGUGGUGAGGCUUCGGCCAAUUCCCAACCGGCGGUGAUGCUCCUUUUUUUCAAGAGGAGACGAGUCCGCGAGCCUGCAAGCUCUGCUUGCGGUGCAGGAUCUGGUGCGAUUCCAGAACCGACGGUACAGUCCGGAUGGGAGAAGGAAUGU